CCUACGGGGGGCUGCAGUAGGGAAUUUUCGUCAAUGGGCGCAAGCCUGAACGAGCGAUGCCGCGUGAGUGAAGAAGGCCUUCGGGUCGUAAAGCUCUGUUGCGGGGGAAAAAAGGCAGCAUCAGGAAAUGGGUGCUGACUGAUGGUGCCCCGCCAGAAAGUCACGGCUAACUACGUGCCAGCAGCCGCGGUAAUACGUAGGUGGCGAGCGUUAUCCGGAAGGAUGGGGCGGAAAGGGUGCGCAGGCGGUCCUGCAAGUCUGGAGUGAAACGGAUGGGCUCAACUCAUGCAGGGCUUUGGAAACUGGAGGGCUGGAGGGCAGGAGAGGGAGGUGGAACUCCAUGUGUAGCGGUAAAAUGCGUAGAUAUAUGGAAGAACACCAGUGGCGAAGGCGGCCGCCUGGCCUGUUGCUGACGCUGAGGCACGAAAGCGUGGGGAGCAAAUAGGAUUAGAUACCCUGGUAGUC
rnacentral:rRNA from 1 species